UCCCUGGAAGACUAGUGGUUAGGCCUGUUACUCACAGCGCUCUCACCACUGCGGCCUGGGUUCGAUUCCUGGCCAGGGAA